GAAACCAACAGGGAUUGCCUCAGUAACGGCGAGUGAAGCGGCAACAGCUCAAAUUUGAAAUCUGGCCCUAGGCCCGAGUUGUAAUUUGCAGAGGAUGUUUCUGGCGAGGUGCCUUCCGAGUUCCCUGGAACGGGACGCCAUAGAGGGUGAGAGCCCCGUACGGUUGGUCGCUAAGCCUCUGUGAAACUCCUUCGACGAGUCGAGUAGUUUGGGAAUGCUGCUCUAAAUGGGAGGUAUACGUCUUCUAAAGCUAAAUACCGGCUAGAGACCGAUAGCGCACAAGUAGAGUGAUCGAAAGAUGAAAAGCACUUUGAAAAGAGGGUUAAAUAGUACGUGAAAUUGUUGAAAGGGAAGCGCUUAUGACCAGACUUGGGCCGGUUGAUCAUCCAUCGUUCUCGGUGGUGCACUCUGCCGGUUCAGGCCAGCAUCAGUUUGGCCCGGGGGAUAAAGGUUUCGGGAAUGUGGCUUCCUUCGGGGAGUGUUAUAGCCCGUUGCGUAAUACCCUGGGCUGGACUGAGGUACGCGUUCUGCAAGGAUGCUGGCGUAAUGGUCAUCAGUGACCCGUCUUGAAACACGGACCAAGGAGUCGUCUUCGUAUGCGAGUGUUCGGGUGUCAAACCCCUACGCGUAAUGAAAGUGAACGUAGGAGAGAGCUUCGGCGCAUCUCCGACCGAUCCUGAUGUUCUCGGAUGGAUUUGAGUAAGAGCAUACGGGGCCGGACCCGAAAGAAGGUGAACUAUGCCUGUAUAGGGUGAAGCCAGAGGAAACUCUGGUGGAGGCUCGCAGCGGUUCUGACGUGCAAAUCGAUCGUCAAAUAUGGGCAUGGGGGCGAAAGACUAAUCGAACCUUCUAGUAGCUGGUUUCCGCCG
rnacentral:rRNA from 1 species